UAUCUCUGUAGAGUCUGCAUAUCAAUAAGCGGAGGAAAAGAAACUAACUAGGAUUCCCUCAGUAACGGCGAGUGAAGCGGGAAGAGCUCAAAUUUGAAAUCUUCAAGGUUCUACCUUGACGAAUUGUAGUUUAAAGAAGUGUUUUCUGUUGGAGUUUUGGUAAAAGUUCUUUGGAAUAGGACAUCAUAGAGGGUGAGAAUCCCGUAUUUGACCAUUACUUUCCAGGCGUUGUGAUACACUUUCAAAGAGUCGGAUUGUUUGGGAAUGCAGUCCAAAAUGGGUGGUAAAUUUCAUCUAAAGCUAAAUAUUGGCGAGAGACCGAUAGCGAACAAGUACCGUGAGGGAAAGAUGAAAAGAACUUUGAAAAGAGAGUUAAACAGUACGUGAAAUUGUCAAAAGGGAAGCGUUUGACACCAGUGUUGUUUUCUCGAAAAUCAAUUAAAAAAAGUUGGAUUUUGUAUUGUUAAGACCUUAUCAGCUUACUGUACUCUUUUCUUGCUUUUUUUAAUGCACUUUUCGUUUAACAAGUCAACAUCAAUUUCUUUUGUUGUAAAAGAGUCAUUGGAAGGUGGCUUUCACUUCGGUGAAAGUGUUUAUAGCCUUUGGCUUCUGCAAUCGGAGAGAUUGAGGUCUGCAGCGUAGAUCCUUCGGGGCUAGAUACGUAGAUGCUAAGUUAUAGUUUUUUAUAGACAACUUGUUGACUAUAAUUAAUCAUGUAGCUUACUCGUUUGCGCUAUUUUACCUACGCUUAGGAUGUUGACGAUCAGCUGAGCGCG
rnacentral:rRNA from 1 species